rfam:Cavia porcellus supercont2_92 genomic scaffold, whole genome shotgun sequence.
AAGGAUUUAGCUCAGUGGCAUAAGCACCUGCCUUACAAGCAGGUGUUCGUGAGUUCAAUCCUUG